rnacentral:lncRNA from 1 species
UACAUAGAUCUCCACCCUCCUAUGAGGCGUUAGGAUCAAAGAUGGAGUUACAGUCUUCUUCUGAGAGAAGAUUCAGUGAAAGAGAGACACCAGAUGAAUCUAAAAGCUCCUCAGGGUCAUUCAAAAAUAAAAUUGGCCUUCCACUCUGUUCUUUGGGCAUCAUGAAAGAUGCCUGGGAGCGACUGCGACAGUGCAUCAGUCCCACUACUGUGCUGUGCCCGGGCGGAGGUGGCACACCCAUCCUGGGCCAGGUCUUCCAUUUCCUGUGUAGGAGCCUCCUUCAAACCUCUUCUCUGGUGGACAAAGAUGGAGGUGCACAUGUGGAUCCCAAAGCCAUCACCAUAGCCAUGGCACAGCAACACCAAAGAGCUCAGGUGGGAAAUCCAUUGCAGAUCCAUUUUACUUUCAAUAACUAGAUGUAGAGACACAUCGCAGUU